UUUUCAGCAUGAUUAAUGACGGCGACAGGUGUCCAAACAGUCUUAAAUCUUUCAAAACAAUGAACAGUGCAGUCAUGCCGAGAAUAAAUUGACAGCUGAUCGGUUGGCGACCACUAUACAACGCCCAAUUGAGUUUCGGGUGCAGCACCGAUAGCCCCAGGCCAAAGACGCCACACAGCUGCGGGACAGAAUCAAGUUUAUUUUGGUAGCCAACUGGAACGAAAGUAGCGACAGAAUCAUAAAUUAAAUUGUCAAUGCACAAUUUGGAGCGGGUGUGCCACAUUCCAGCGGACUCAGAUUCAAAUUCAUUUGCAGCAGCCGUCGAAAAUAAAACAUCGAGAUGAUGGCAUUCUUCUAAUGUCGGAGUAAACACGGGAGUAGCAAUGAGAGCAUCUCGAUGGGAUAGGUAGACGGUGGUACACAUGGAGGAUAGAGGAGACCACCACCUGGACAAACAACACGUAAAGCAAACAAACAAGAAACAACCAUGUCAACACCUACACCUGGGAACAAGAACCAAGAACCACCAUGAACAGAGAACCGACUCCUCCUCCCGCUGUCACUGCACUCAAUUUAAAUUACUCGCAGUGGCGGCGAGCUUGGGGAAAAUUCCCAUUGACAUCGCCAGGGCACAGUGCUUCGGGAUGAUGGAUAGUAUUGUAAAAAACAUUUACCAAUUUCAGUGAUAGUAAAAUCGGAUAGAUAAGAUAUAUGUAUUAUCAGAAAAACACCUACACAAAUAUAUGGAUCGUUGUAAAUG